UGCACGCACGCCUCGUCUGAACACACUGUGAUUGGACGCGUGACUUUGACCUGUCAGGUGAAUGACCGCGCGCCUGCGCGCGUAACGGUCCGGGGUUAAAAGCAUUGGACCGCUCAUAAGUUUUGGAGUAGUAAAAGUGCUACUCGGCGAAGUUUUGGGACGAAUUUGACCUGGAAAUGAAAAUGAUGGCCGUGCGAUUUGCUCUUUGUGUUCACGUUGCGCGAGCGGCAAUACGGAGCUCCACGCGCGUUUUGGGGCAAGGACUCGCGCGCAGCCUCAGCACUGACUCAGAUUUUUCUGGCGUUAAAGAACGGACUUUGGUAGCUGUGAAGCCCGAUGGCGUUCAGAGGCGUCUGAUUGGUGAGAUCAUAAAGCGCUUUGAGCAGCGAGGAUUCCAAUUGGUUGGUCUGAAGAUGCUGCAGGCUUCUGACAAGCUUUUAGCUCAGCACUACGUCUCGCUGCAGAGGAAACCCUUCUACUCCAGCCUGCUUUACUACAUGACCUCUGGCCCAAUAGUCGCCAUGGUGUGGGAGGGGCAUAAUGUAGUGAGGUCAUCACGUAAGCUGGUGGGAGACACAGACCCUGCUGAAGCCGCACCGGGAACUAUUAGAGGAGAUUUCAGUGUUCACAUCAGCAGAAAUGUCAUCCAUGCAUCUGAUUCAGUGGAGGGAGCGGAGCGGGAGAUUUCACUGUGGUUUCAUCGCUCAGAGCUCAUCGACUGGGAGGGAUGCGAUCAUAAAAACAUUUAUCAUAUAUGAGGACAGUUAUUAAUUGAUUGGACUGGAGUGGUGUGGAUUAUCGUGAUUUAUCAGCUGUUUGGAUUCUCAUUCUGACGGCACCCAUUCACUGCAGAGGAUCCAUUAUGUAAUGCUAAAUUUCUCCAAAUCAUUUCAACUGAACACCAACCCAUCUACAUCUUGGAUGGCCUAAGGGUCACGCAAACACCCCGGCACCCGCCCCGGGCUCCAGCCCAACAGCCACUCGGGCCAAGUAACUCUUCGCCUGUAAGCUGUACUCCUCCCUCUCGCAAUCCCAUCUUCCCCCCGUAAUCCUUGGCAGUGACCAGCUCUGCCCCCCACCCUCAAGUUCAACUUCAACUGCCUGUGACAUCAUGUCUCGUUGCUGCGGGCAACCAGACAGUUGGGACGUGACUUUUCAGUUUCGGGGCCGUGCUUCAACUUUGCCUCUCUUUUCUCCGUUCCUGCCUCACAUUUCCGCAGUUCUUUUCUCAUGUUUCUGACUGGGCUGAGAGCGUUUCCCCGUACAGACAUGCAGUGUUCAAACACUUAAAGACGCACUUAAAAAUGUUUGAAUGUCACUACAUUAGACGAGCCUGUCUCUCAAACGCUGCAGGAUCUUUUAUCUUCUCCAAUGUCAUUUUUGUUCAGUGUCAUCUGAUGUUUGGGUGGUUUUUACAACUAUUAGUGCACAAAUUUCACCAACAUUUUUGCUCUGUGUGUCUUGACAAAACUAAUAAUUGUAAAAAUCCCCAAAACACCAAUGCAUUUUCUCAUUGCACAAGUAUUCAAACACUUAAAGUCACAUAAAAUGUUUGAAUGUCACUACAUUAGAGGAAGUGUAUCUGUGUGUAUCAAAUGCUGCAGGAUCUUUUCUCUUCACUAACUUCACUUUUGUUCAGUGUCUUUUGACAAAACUAGUGUUUUGGUGAUUUUUUUUUUUUUUUUAACAAUUGUUAAUGUCCUUUCUCAAUGCACAUUUUCUCAUUUACAGGAUCUUUUCUCUUCAUUACCAUCAUUUUUGCUUCGUGUCAUCUGAAAAAAAACUGGUGUUUUGGCAAUUUUUACAAUUAUUAGUUCACCACCUCACUGCACAUUUUCUUGAAAUCAAAUAAAUGUUCUGUUGAUUUAUGACUGAAAACCUAAUAGUCAUUUUUGUGUAAUGUUUUGUUUGAAAAGUAUUUUAUCCAUUCAAUACAUGUCACUUGCUUUGAUAUUUUAUCUAACGCAAUAACAUUUUAAACUGUAACUGAAGUGUCCAAAUAUCUUUUGGGGACACAUGAAAACAGCAGUUUACUGAUACCCUCAUGAAACAUGUCUUUAAAUUAAAUCACACUGAAUUACAAUUAAUAAGGCACUUACUCAAUGCAUAUUUUCUUAAAUUUUUUUAUUUUAUUUUUCUAUUCUCACUGCCUCUUGCUUUUAUCAAUGAAUUACAUUGAAGGAGAAAAAAAACAAAUAAAAUAAAUUAAGGAAUUAGAAUUUAUUUUUUAAUCAAUGUUUGAUUUCUAUUGAAUUACAAUUAUUAAUGCAUUUUCUCAGUGCACAUUUUCCUAUAAUAAAUACAAAAUAAUAAAAUAUUUCACCUCUGCC